UGUGAUGAUCACUUUGAAUCCUUAUAAUCCUAUGAAGUGUAUAAUACUACCUGCAAUUUAUGAAGACACGGAGGCCCAGAGAGGUAGUAGUAAUGGAUGGAUCUAAGAAUUAGUGAAGCUCGGGAUGGCUGAGCGGCUUAGGUGCUGCAUUAAGGACUGAUGGAACCCGGAUUCACUAUGAUAUAGUAUCUGUCCCAGUUCUAUAGGGACUGCAGGAACAUACCUCAUCCACUGGAGGAUAGGGGAGAUGCCAUAGGGACAAAGCAUGUCUCAGUUGGUUACUGUUCUGAUGGCCAGGUGACAGUUUUGUUAUGGAAAAACUGGUCUUUUAUCAGUUGGACAUGUAUCAACAUAACAAUCCAGGCUGCCCAUUGAUUUCCCUGGUAAUAUGCUAGUUUCUGCAGGUGCCAGCAUGGAAAAGGACUGGGAAGCAAGGGACAAGGACAUGCUAUCCACGGAUGAAAUGAGGUGUCUGCCUUGGCAGUGAGAUGACAUGGCUGCCUUGGGAUCCAGGUCUCCUUUUGAUGCAGUUAUCUGCAGAUCAAGGUCUUCGUUGGCUGCAUCUGCUGAUUUGUGAAUGAAACACUGGCAGUUACUAAGACAUCUGCUUUCUUUCACCCAGACGGCACACUGUUGCUGUUGCAGGAUUACCAGUCCCUAGCUGAGGAACCAGAGGUCUGAAACACCUGAACACAACUGGACGAUGAAGAUGAAGAUUGUCCCAUGAACCUCAAUGCCCCAAUUCAGCAGGAAGUAGUCUAAUGAUAAUGCCACUCCCUUUCCAAUUCCCAGUUGUUUUAUUAAUAAACAAAAGGGGGACUGCAAGGGGAAAGAGCCACCUAAAGAAACACACCCUGAGUAGAGCCAAAGAAACACACUUUGGCCCUGCAAACAGAACCAAAGAAAUGCACCCUGACCCUGAAACCAGUGCCACAGAAACACACUUUGGCCCUGAACCAAGAGCCAAACCUGACUCUAAACCUGUGCAGAAAACUAACCAGUCCCUGAGUAGGAUAUCUAGCUUUUCUGAGCUCAGGGAUUGAAAUCUUAUCAAUCCCCACCCUGGAGGUCUCCCUGGAAAAACUCUGCCCCCUAAGAAUCCCUAUAUAAACCCUGUGUCUGUUCAGCUU